GAACUAUACCUAAAAGGGAUAAGCGGAAAUUCUCAAAAGGUGGAUAAUCAAAGGGGCCCGCAAUCCUACCCACUUCUAAUUCUUUCUUAAUUUAAGUACGAACUACAUCUGCAUAUCUCACUACAGAUUUUAAAUUAUCCACCAUUGAAAAACCAAUACCCUUAAAUUCAGGAACCAAAAAACCUAGAGAAAAACCAUCAAUAAUUAAAUUAGCAUUUACUUGG